rnacentral:rRNA from 1 species
AAGCGGCAACAGCUCAAAUUUGAAAUCUGGCGCAAGCCCGAGUUGUAAUUUGUAGAGGAUGCUUCUAGGUAGCGACCGGUCUAAGUUCCUUGGAACAGGACGUCAUAGAGGGUGAGAAUCCCGUAUGUGACUGGCCCGCACCUUCUACGUAGCUCCUUCGACGAGUCGAGUUGUUUGGGAAUGCAGCUCUAAAUGGGAGGUAAAUUUCUCUAAAGCUAAAUACCGGCCAGAGACCGAUAGCGCACAAGUAGAGUGAUCGAAAGAUGAAAAGCACUUUGGAAAGAGAGUUAAAAAGCACGUGAAAUUGUUGAAAGGGAAGCGCUCACAACCAGACUUCUAGGCAGUGUUCCGCCGGUCUUUUGACCGGUCUACUCUCUGUCUCGAGGCCAACAUCAUCUGGGACCGCUGGAUAAGACCUUAGGAAUGUAGCUCCCCUCGGGGAGUGUUAUAGCCUCUGGUGAUGCAGCGAGUCUCGGGUGAGGUCCG